rnacentral:lncRNA from 1 species
CACUGAAGUACCUCUGGUUGAAAAGGAGAACAGAGACUUUUUUCACAGCCACAGGACAAAAUUUGUUCAGAAUUAAAUGCUGAAAAAGGAGGACCUGACACCAUUAUUCAUAAUUUCACUGUAUAUGAAGAGCAACCCUAUACUCCAUACAAACAACAUAGACUGUGGAAUUAUGUUGUGAAAUGUAAAGAGAAGAUGAUUCCCAAAUUUAAAGGAAACUGGAGGUGUUCUGGA